CGGCGGGAACCUGGUCCGGCGAGAUGAAGUGGAUGUGGGUGUCCACCCCGCCGGCGGUGAGGAUCUUCCGCUCCCCGGCGAUGAUCUCGGUGCUCGCCCCGAUCAGGAUGUCCACCGCGUCGGUGAUCUGCGGAUUGCCCGCCUUGCCGAUCCGGAGAAUGUGGCCGUCCUUGAUUGCGACGUCGGCUUUGUAGAUGCCGGUGUAGUCGAGGAUGACGACGUUGGUGAUGACGGUGUCCGGGACGGCUCCCCCUUGGACGUCACCGUCCCGGGUCACCUGGCCAUUCUGGCCCAUGCCGUCGCGGAUCA
rnacentral:sRNA from 1 species